CUUCAGGAAUGCCCGAAAUGAACAGCUUCUUCCCACAUUCUGCUGCAGUCCCUCGAAGGACCAGCUUCUCCCCUCAGUCUGAAAUGACCACCUUUUCUCAAGCUGUUCAAGGGAACCAGCAGCCAGGCGAGACUGCAGGGGUUUCUGAGGCCCUGGCUCUUGCUCUGAGAGCCAGGCAGCAGGCCGAAUGGGAAAUGGAUGAAGAAGACUUUAGACCAUGAAAGCACAGACAUGGAGGUGCAAGAAGCACCAAGAAGCACUUUGGGGACAGGACUCGGCAGUUUGCACAACCAAAGGGCCUGGCUGCUGGAAUUGCAAUUGCAUCUGCUGUUAAGUCUGUGUAAGAAGUGACAUAACUCUGAAUGUGGGCUGAUGAAGACAGGAUUAAAAAGCAAGGAUUUUGCUUCAGAAAUCAAACCUUCCCCACUGGUUGCGGUUUAAUUUAUUAUGAUUUUUGAGAACACAGUGCAGUGAAAUAUAUCGAGAGACUGAAAUAGUUUGCUGAUUUCUAACCCCCCCCCCCCCCACCCUUUUCUAAGUCCAGGAUCACUCACAUGCUUGAAGGAACAUGGAAAUGGACCAUUUUUUAAAAAAUGGAGCACUGGAUCAGUGUCCCUGGUGAGAAUUGCCAGGCACAGUUUUGUGGACAUCUGUGGUAUCCUUCUCUCUGAACUGAAUUAUUGCUGUUCUAAUCGCAGUAUUUUUAACGGAAAUUAUAUAAGAAUUAAAAAUAACCCUUGUCUUCUGGUGCAAUUUAUGCUGCAAUUUGGAAAUAGAAAUCUCAUUUC